rnacentral:rRNA from 1 species
GACGAACGCUGACCGCAUGCUUAACACAUGCAAGUCAACCUGAACGUCGGUUCGUGUGUCGGAUGCGUGAGUAACGAGCAAAGAACUAACCCGACAGUUACGGACCAUAUUUUGUAAGGUAAGCUAAUACCAGAUAUUAUGAUACUAGGUCAUACCAGCUUCUUCAAGGCUUUUUUCGCAGUGAGUGGGCUUUGCGUUCCAUUAGCUAGUUGGAGCGGUAAGGGCUUACCGAGGCGAUGAUGGGUAGCCGGCCUGGGUGGGUGAACGGCCACAAGGGGACUGAGACACGGCCCUUACUCCUACGGGAGGCAGCAGUGGGGAAUAUGGGACAAGGGACCAAGAGUCUUAUCCAGCAAUUCUGUGUGCACGAUGAAGUUUUUCGGAAUGUAAAGUGCUUUCAGUUGGGAAGAAAAAAAUGACGGUACCAACAGAAGAAGUGACGGCUAAAUACGUG